CCUACGGGCGGCAGCAGUGGGGGAUAUUGCACAAUGGGGGAAACCCUGAUGCAGCGACGCCGCGUGUGGGAAGACGGUCCUCUGGAUUGUAAACCACUGUCCCCAGGGACGAAGAUGACGGUACCUGGGGAGGAAGCUCCGGCUAACUACGUGCCAGCAGCCGUGGUAAUAGGUAGGGAGCGAGCGUUGUUCGGAAUUACUGGGUGUAAAGGGAGCGUAGGCGGGACUGCAAGUUGGGUGUCAAAUCUACUGGCUCAACCGGUAGCCGCACUCAAAACUGCAGUUCUAGAGUGAAGUAGAGGCAGGCGGAAUUCCUAGUGUAGCGGUGAAAUGCGUAGAUAUUAGGAGGAACACCAGUGGCGAAGGCGGCCUGCUGGGCUUUUACUGACGCUGAGGCUCGAAAGUGUGGGGAGCAAACAGGAUUAGAUACCCGUGUAGUC
rnacentral:rRNA from 1 species